ensembl:lncRNA
AAUAGACAGCACAAAUCCUGUCUCUGUGCUGCAUGUGUGUAAAACAGCUGCACCUGUUUUGGCGGGAAAAAGUAUACAGCCUCUCUGAUUGGUGGAUUCAAAUUCAGCAGCUCCCAGGCUAUUUGGCUGCUGCUGCUAUGUGUGUGUGUGUGUGUGUGUGUGUGUGUGUGUGUGUGUGUGACAGAGAGAGAGAGAAAGAGAGGGCGAGAGAGCGUUUUUAUGGGAGCAUCUUAUUGUAUGAUUUAAAUUCAAUAUAUUUAGACUGGUUGACUGAAUUUGAUCCUGUGUCUCUCUGUGCAUGUGUGUUUCCAUAUGUGUCCAUAUUUUUGAUUGUGUGACUGUUAUACUUUUUUUUUGCUGAUUUUUUUUUCAUUCAACAAUUACAUUUGAGGGAGCCUUAGAAUGUUCAGCAUUUUUUCAGCUGUUCAUUUUGCUUUUCCAAUUUUUCUAUUUCAGUUAUUACUAUUGUGCUAAGUCAUAGCAUUUCUGCUGCUUUUCAGUAUUUGUGCUAAAUACAGCAUUUGUGCUAAAUCAUACUAUUUCAGCCAUUUUAUAGUAUUUGUGCUAAAACAUAAUAUUUCUACUAAACGCAGUAUUUCUGGGUAAUCAUAGUAUUUCUAUGUAUUCCUGCCAGCUCCUCAGGGAGCCAAUCCUCUGUGAGUACUGUAAUUUUCAAAUUGACAUAUCAAGUCAUGCAUGACUUCCCAACCAGCCCAUCACAUCUGACGGCUGAGACAUUCAAAUUUCCAUAUUGGGGCUUUCAUGGGUUGUAAGUCAACCACUCAUCCAUGUCAUGUAUCUCUACAAAUUCAUAUUUUUACUUUAAACACACAACACUUGACAAUCCCCCCAUCUCUUCUGAACAAAACAGUGUAAGAAUGACCGUUCUAGACCCUACGGUUAGGAAAUUAUAGCCAUUUGUUUGAGAGGAGUCCUCACUAUGAAAAAUAGACUGAACAAAUCCUGUCUCUGUGCUGCGUGUGUAAAAACAGGUGCACCUGUUUUGGCGGGAAAAAGUACAUAGCCUUUCUG